rnacentral:rRNA from 1 species
ACAGAUGGGAGCUUGCUCCCUGAUGUUAGCGGCGGACGGGUGAGUAACACGUGGGUAACCUGCCUGUAAGACUGGGAUAACUCCGGGAAACCGGGGCUAAUACCGGAUGGUUGUUUGAACCGCAUGGUUCAAACAUAAAAGGUGGCUUCGGCUACCACUUACAGAUGGACCCGCGGCGCAUUAGCUAGUUGGUGAGGUAACGGCUCACCAAGGCAACGAUGCGUAGCCGACCUGAGAGGGUGAUCGGCCACACUGGGACUGAGACACGGCCCAGACUCCUACGGGAGGCAGCAGUAGGGAAUCUUCCGCAAUGGACGAAAGUCUGACGGAGCAACGCCGCGUGAGUGAUGAAGGUUUUCGGAUCGUAAAGCUCUGUUGUUAGGGAAGAACAAGUACCGUUCGAAUAGGGCGGUACCUUGACGGUACCUAACCAGAAAGCCACGGCUAACUACGUGCCAGCAGCCGCGGUAAUACGUAGGUGGCAAGCGUUGUCCGGAAUUAUUGGGCGUAAAGGGCUCGCAGGCGGUUUCUUAAGUCUGAUGUGAAAGCCCCCGGCUCAACCGGGGAGGGUCAUUGGAAACUGGGGAACUUGAGUGCAGAAGAGGAGAGUGGAAUUCCACGUGUAGCGGUGAAAUGCGUAGAGAUGUGGA